rnacentral:tRNA from 1 species
AGAUUUAAAAGUGUAUAUACUAUUUUCUA